rnacentral:rRNA from 1 species
GUGCCAGCAGCCGCGGUAAUACGUAGGGGGCAAGCGUUGUCCGGAAUUAUUGGGCGUAAAGCGCGCGCAGGCGGUCCUUUAAGUCUGAUGUGAAAGCCCACGGCUUAACCGUGGAGGGUCAUUGGAAACUGAGGGACUUGAGUACAGAAGAGGAGAGUGGAAUUCCAUGUGUAGCGGUGAAAUGCGUAGAUAUAUGGAGGAACACCAGUGGCGAAGGCGACUCUCUGGUCUGUUACUGACGCUGAGGCGCGAAAGCGUGGGGAGCAAACAGGAUUAGAUACCCUGGUAGUCC